CGGACGUAGGUAACCUGCCUGGUAGCGGGGGAUAACUAUUGGAAACGAUAGCUAAUACCGCAUAAGAGUAGAUGUUGCAUGACAUUUGCUUAAAAGGUGCAAUUGCAUCACUACCAGAUGGACCUGCGUUGUAUUAGCUAGUUGGUGGGGUAACGGCUCACCAAGGCGACGAUACAUAGCCGACCUGAGAGGGUGAUCGGCCACACCGGGACUGAGACACGGCCCAG
rnacentral:rRNA from 1 species